rnacentral:tRNA from 1 species
GGCUCCUUCCUCUAAUUGGUCAGGAGACGUGAUUCUCAAUCACGCAAUGUGGGAUCGUUCUCCACAGGAGUCACCA